rnacentral:rRNA from 1 species
CUACGGGGUGCAGCAGUUGAGAAUCGUCUACAAUGGGGGAAACCCUGAUAGUGCGACGCCGCGUGAACGAUGAAACCCUUCGGGGCGUAAAGUUCUUUUCUCUGUGAGCAGUAUAUUUGAGAUUAAUAAUUUUAGGUAUAAGAUGUUAGCAGAGGAAUAAGCCACGGCUAACUCCGUGCCAGCAGCCGCGGUAAUACGGGGGUGGCGAGCGUUGUCCGGAAUCACUAGGCGUAAAGGGCAGGUAGGCGGACCGGUAAGUCAGAUGUUAAAGGCGCAGGCUCAACCUGUGUAAGGCAUUUGAUACUGUCGGUCUAGAGUUAGGUAUGGGAGGACGGAAUUCCCGGUGUAGCGGUGGAAUGCGCAGAUAUCGGGAAGAACACCAAAGGCGAAGGCAGUUCUCUUGGCCAUAACUGACGCUAAACUGCGAAGGUGUGGGUAUCAAACAGGAUUAGAUACCCGAGUAGUC